GACGAACGCUGGCGGCGGGCCUAACACAUGCAAGUCGAACGCGCUCGGACCUUCGGGUCCACAUGAGUGAGUGGCGAACGGGUGAGUAACACGUGAGAAACCUGCCCCGGAGUACGGGAUAACCACGGGAAACCGUGGCUAAUACCGUAUGCCCUCUUCUGGUCGCAUGGCCGGAUGAGGAAAGCUUUUGCGCUCCGGGAGGGUCUCGCGGCCUAUCAGCUUGUUGGUGAGGUAACGGCUCACCAAGGCAUCGACGGGUAGCUGGUCUGAGAGGACGGUCAGCCACACUGGGACUGAGACACGGCCCAGACUCCUACGGGAGGCAGCAGUGGGGAAUCUUGCGCAAUGGGCGAAAGCCUGACGCAGCCACGCCGCGUGAGGGAUGAAGGCUUUCGGGUUGUAAACCUCUUUCAGCAGGGACGAAAAUGACGGUACCUGCAGAAGAAGCUCCGGCCAACUACGUGCCAGCCGCCGCCGUAACAC
rnacentral:rRNA from 1 species